rnacentral:lncRNA from 1 species
UGCAGGUUUUAAGAGUCUCAAGGAUUCCAGAGCAGCUUUCAUCUCAAACCCGUCUUUAUUAGUGUUUCUGCGCUCGGAGCGGCAUCGUGUACAGAUCGUGUUCGGGCAAAUUAAUGCUCGGUCUGGUUGAGGCGAGUGUGUGUGACCUCUCCCUUGUUGUGUGUUUGCAGGCAGGUGCUUGGGAAGUCCUUAGCAAGCUGUUUUCGGAUGCGCCAUUAUCUUUAAGAGCGGAUCAUCGGGGAGACCAAAAUUACCGGGUUCCGACUUUCGGUUGAACUUGGUUCAUUCUUCUGCGGCAAGCGGUUGGUUCUAACUUAGCUGAGCCUUCGGAGUUCAGUUUGGGUUGUUGAGUUUGCCACUGCUUAGGCUUGAUAGAGUUUGUGUCUAGGUUUUUUCAUUUAUCUGCCUUUUGUUUCCUUUGUAAUUCUGUCAAAAACAUAAAACCUGGUAAUAAUAUUUUAACAUUUUUACCAAAAAAAAAAAAUUAACUAUUCAACGUAAACUUUGUUUGUUUUUUUUUCCCUGAAUUUUAUCUUCAGUAAUCAAAAGAACGAAACAGAGUACGGCACGAAGGCCAAAGGACACAAGAUGACAAGAACCAAAUAGAAACACGUAAACGAACACCAAUAGGUGUGUAUAAACAACCAUCAUGAACACAGAUGGUUACAGCAAACACGGACUCUCUUCUGCAAUCCCUUUCUGCAACCAGCAAGGGCUUCCCGAGGCCACAUAAGAUUGGUAGAAAUGGUUCCGAGUCACACUUUUAGCAAUUUUGAUAGCCACUUUUGUUUGGUUUUUUUUUUUUUAACUUCUGAAAUUCAUUAGAAAUCGAAAAGAGGUACAGAGAACUCAUAGAACCCAAACCACAAAGGCACUCUAAAAUCCUGAAAAACCACCCUUGCCUAAAACAGAGACAGUACAAACACCAACUCA